GAUGAAGAACGCAGUGAAAUGCGAUAAGUAAUGCGAAUUGCAGAAUUCCGUGAGUCAUCGAAUCUUUGAACGCACAUUGCGCCCCCCGGUAUUCCGGGGGGCAUGCCUGUUCGAGCGUCAUUGUCAACCCUCAAGCUCGGCUUGCUGUUGGGUCCCCGUCGUUGCUCCAACGGCGGACCCGAAAGACAAUGGCAGAGUCUGCGGGACCCUGGAUGCAGCGAGCUUCUGGCACGCGUCUGGACGGUCUCUGGGCUUGGCCUCCACCAAUCGUCAACCUGUGAUUGACCUCGGAUCAGGUAGGGAUACCCGCUGAACUUAAGCAUAUCAAUAAGCGGAGGA
rnacentral:misc_RNA from 1 species